GGCAGGGUAGCUUAGUUGGUUAAAGCGCGGCACUCAUAACGCCGAGAUCGUCGAGUUCGAAUCUCACCCCUGCUA
rnacentral:tRNA from 3 species